rnacentral:rRNA from 1 species
GAUGAACGCUGGCUGUGUGCUUAACACAUGCAAGUCGACUGGAAUUUUUCUUCGGAGAAUAGUACGGUGGCGGACGGGUGAGUAACGCGUAAAGAAUUUGCCCUUCAGACUGGGACAACUAACCGAAAGGUUAGCUAAUACCGGAUAUUAUGAGACCUUGGCAUCAAGGACUUAUGAAAGCUAUAUGCGCUGGAGGAGAACUUUGCGUCCCAUUAGGUAGUUGGUAGGGUAAUGGCCUACCAAGCCGACGAUGGGUAGCCGGCCUGAGAGGGUGAACGGCCACAAGGGGACUGAGACACGGCCCUUACUCCUACGGGAGGCAGCAGUGGGGAAUAUUGGACAAUGGACCAAAAGUCUGAUCCAGCAAUUCUGUGUGCACGAUGAAGGUCUUCGGAUUGUAAAGUGCUUUCAGGUGGGAAGAAGAAAGUGACGGUACCACCAGAAGAAGCGACGGCUAAAUACGUGCCAGCAGCCGCCGUAAC